GCUGGAUUCGCUAGUAAUCGCGCAUCAGCCAUGGCGCGGUGAAUACGUUCCCGGGCCUUGUACACACCGCCCGUCAAGCCAUGAAAGCCGGGGGUACCUGAAGUACGUAACCGCAAGGAUCGUCCUAGGGUAAAACUGGUAAUUGGGGCUAAGUCGUAACAAGGUAGC
rnacentral:rRNA from 1 species